rnacentral:rRNA from 1 species
AAUCAACGCUGGCGGCGUGCCUAACACAUGCAAGUCGAACGCGAAAGCCCCUUCGGGGGUAAGUAGAGUGGCGUCCGGGUGAGUAACACGUGGGUAAUCUGCCUUCGGGUGGGGAAUAACCCAGGGAAACUUGGGCUAAUACCGCAUAAUGCAGCGGCACCUAAUGGUGAUUAGUUGUUAAAGGGGGGGAUCGCAAGACCUCGCGCCUGAAGAGGAGCCUGCGGCAGAUUAGCUAGUUGGUGAGGUAACGGCUCACCAAGGCUACGAUCUGUAGCUGGUCUGAGAGGACGGCCAGCCACACUGGCACUGACACACGGGCCAGACUCCUACGGGAGGCAGCAGUGGGGAAUUUUGGGCAAUGGGCGAAAGCCUGACCCAGCAACGCCGCGUGAGGGAGGAAAUCCUUCGGGAUGUAAACCUCACAAGCAAGGGAAGAGAGCUGCGGGCUGAAUAAUCCCGCGGUACGACGGUACCUUGCGUAAGCCACGGCUAACUACGUGC